rnacentral:rRNA from 1 species
GAUGAACGCUGGCGGCGUGCCUAAUACAUGCAAGUCGAGCGAACAGACGAGGAGCUUGCUCCUUCGACGUUAGCGGCGGACGGGUGAGUAACACGUAGGUAACCUACCUAUAAGACUGGGAUAACUUCGGGAAACCGGAGCUAAUACCGGAUAAUAUUUCGAACCGCAUGGUUCGAUAGUGAAAGAUGGCUUUGCUAUCACUUAUAGAUGGACCUGCGCCGUAUUAGCUAGUUGGUAAGGUAACGGCUUACCAAGGCAACGAUACGUAGCCGACCUGAGAGGGUGAUCGGCCACACUGGAACUGAGACACGGUCCAGACUCCUACGGGAGGCAGCAGUAGGGAAUCUUCCGCAAUGGGCGAAAGCCUGACGGAGCAACGCCGCGUGAGUGAUGAAGGUCUUCGGAUCGUAAAACUCUGUUAUUAGGGAAGAACAAACGUGUAAGUAACUGUGCUCGUCUUGACGGUACCUAAUCAGAAAGCCACGGCUAACUACGUG